UUGGGGUAUAAUUCUCUAAAUGGAUCAACUAGAUUAAAGUCUUCCAUUAGCUGUAAUACUUUUUCUCUAGACUUUGGGUUGUUGAUAUUAACAUAAUUAUGGGUGUCAAGAUUAAAACUUUGAAUGAGGUUAAAAUCACCACAAAGAAUACAAGAUUGGUUAUCAAAUUCCUCAAUAAUGUCUGCCACCUUUUGAUAAAAGCAAGGAGUGUCUACAUUUGGCCCAUAAAUAUUUACUAAGGUAAUUCUUUGUUCUUCAAUUGUAAUGUCCAAUCCAAGAAGAUUUCCACCCUCAUCUUUUUUAACUUUGUGAAUUUGAAGAUCAAAGUUUUCAUUAAAAAGAUGGCCACCCUCUCUGAUUGGAUGUAAAUGAAUUGAAAAGGCAUUCUCCCUUCCACGCAUUUUUAAUGUUUAAUUCAUCUUGUUCUGUAAAAUGUGUGUCCUGAAGACAGUAUAUAUUAAAAUUCUUUGACUUUAAAUAGUUCAAAUCAUCUCUCCGUUUCUCCUUUGUAUACAGACCUUGACAAUUAUAAGAAAUUAUUUUAAAAAUAUCACCCUUCAUGCAUGCGUUUAGCUUUAUCAAUAUUUAUAACUCUAAUGAUGAGUGAGUAUACAUGAAUAUACCAUGAAAUUUGUGAAAUCAAGGGACUUUUAGAAUUCUUUUCCUUUAAAACUGUAUAGUUUUUCCAGAUCUGUGAAACCUUAAGACAUAUUUGUAAUUUACAAUAAAUACAUAUAUAUGAAAACAUAAAAUACAAUAGCAAGAGUCCAACAUUAAAAUCAAAUACUAAAUCUGCACUCUGAGACAUUCACUGUUGUUGUAUAGGAUAUUCACUCUAAAUGGUCUAAGGGAG
rnacentral:lncRNA from 1 species